CCCCUCUCAGGGUUGCACCUGGAGAGUUUCCAGUACUCUACCAAUCUCGACUAUGGGAGGGAGAAGUCAAGCAGAGACCUGUUCAUUCCAUUCUUAGCUUGGGCAGUGGCUAGUGAGUGGAAAGCAAUCUGCUACAAGU